ACUUUACCAUGCGGGCAACCGUGAUAAGGAAACCCCGAGUGCCAGCACAGGCUGGCUGUCCGCCAGUUUAAACAACUGGCGAAGAAAGGGCCGGGCAAGACCGGUGCCAGCCGCCGCGGUAAUACCGGCGGCUCGAGUGGUGGCCGCUAUUACUGGGCUUAAAGGGUCCGUAGCUUGAUAAUAGGGUCCCUUGAGAAAUCCGCCGGCUUAACUGGCGGGCGUUCAGGGGAAACUUGUUUUCUAGGGACCGGGAGAGGUGAGGGGUACUGCCGGGGUAGGAGUGAAAUCCUGUAAUCCCGGUGGGACCACCUAUGGCGAAGGCAUCUCACCAGAACGGGUCCGACAGUGAGGGACGAAAGCUGGGGGAGCAAACCGG
rnacentral:rRNA from 1 species